rnacentral:rRNA from 1 species
GGAGGAAAAGAAACCAACAGGGAUUCCCCUAGUAACGGCGAGCGAACGGGGAAGAGCCCAGCGCCGAAUUCCACGUCCCGCGAGGGCGUCCGGAAAAUGUGGCGUUUGGGAGGCAUCCUUCCGGGGGUGCGACGGCGUCGCAAGUCCCCCUGACCGGGGCUGUGACCCAGAGUGGGUGCGAGGCCCAUAGCUGACGCCGUCCCUUCCGGAUGUGUUCCUCUCGGGAGUCGGGCUGCUUGGGAGUGCAGCCCCAAGUGGGUGGUAAACUCCACCUAAGGCUAAAUACGGCCGUGAGACCGAUAGCAAACAAGUACCGUGAGGGAAAGUUGCAAAGAACUUUGAAGAGAGAGUUCAAGAGUACGUGAAACCGCUCAGAGGCAAACGGGUGGGCCCUCGAAAGCCUGUGUGGCGGGGGGAUUCAGUCGGGAGGCGGCGUGCCGAGGCCGGUCGAAACCUGUGACGGACCCGUACUAGGCCGGGCCGUGCCUUCGAGAGUCGCGCUGCUCUCCCGACGCACUUCCUCCCGCCCGAACGGACGCCGCAACCGGUUGGCAGGACAAAUCCGAGAUCGUCGGCCAUGAGGUCGGGCAAGGAAGGUGGCCGGUGGCGGGGCCUCGCGCUCUGUUCCGCCGGUUGUUAUCCAGCUCGUCCCGGGCGCGACAGCCGACCGUGGUACACGGCCCUGAACCUUCGGGCCUUGCCGUGCCCUGCACACUCGAUGAGCAGCGGGCGGUUCGGCAGGCGUUCCUCCGCGACAAAUGCAUAGGUCGCUCCGCUCCUCAGAAGCGGGCAGCUCUCGGAGGGCGCCGUUGGCCGGACUCGAAGCCACCCCGCGAGGGCAGCAGGCGGUUGGCGGCGAGUAGGUCGGUCACCCACCCGACCCGUCUUGAAACACGGACCAAGGAGUCUAACAUGUGCGCGAGUCAUUGGGACUUGCACAGGCCCAAAGGCGCAAUGAAAGUGAAGGUCGGCCCCGGACGCCGACCGAGUUGGGAUCCCGCGUACUUCUUACGGAUGCGCGGGAGCACCAACGACCCGUCCCGUCCGCAGCGUCGGUGGGGCGGAGUGUGAGCGUACACGUUGGGACCCGAAAGAUGGUGAACUAUGCCUGGGCAGGACGAAGCCAGAGGAAACUCUGGUGGAGGUCCGUAGCGAUUCUGACGUGCAAAUCGAUCGUCAGACCCGGGUAUAGGGGCGAAAGACUAAUCGAACCAUCUAGUAGCUGGUUCCCUCCGAAGUUUCCCUCAGGAUAGCUGGCGCUCGAGAGGAAAUCAGUCUCAUCCGGUAAAGCGAAUGAUUAGAGGCCUUGGGGCCGAAACGACCUCAACCUAUUCUCAAACUUUAAAUGGGUGAGAAGUCCGCCCUGCUCGAUCGAGGGCCGGACGCCGCAGGAUGAGAGCGCCCAGUGGGCCACUUUUGGUAAGCAGAACUGGCGCUGUGGGAUGAACCAAACGCCGGGUUACGGCGCCCGAUGCGAGACGCUCAUGAGACCCCAUAAAAGGUGUUGGUUGCUCCAGACAGCAGGACGGUGGCCAUGGAAGUCGGAAUCCGCUAAGGAGUGUGUAACAACUCACCUGCCGAAGCAACUAGCCCUGAAAAUGGAUGGCGCUCCAGCGUCGAGCCCAUACCCGGCCGCCGCGGCAGAGCUCGACCCCGUCGAGGCUUACGCCGCGGUGAGUAGGAGGGUCGCGGCGGGGAGCGUUGAAGGUGCCGGGCGCGAGCCCGCCUGGAGCCCCCGUCGGCGCAGAUCUUGGUGGUAGUAGCAAAUACUCAAGUGAGAACCUUGAGGACUGAAGGUGGAGAAGGGUUCCAUGUGAACAGCAGUUGAACAUGGGUCAGUCGGCCCUAAGGGAUCGGAGAAGUCCGUUCCGAAGCGGGACCUCGCCCAGGCAGAGUCCCGCUGCCGACCGAAAGGGAAUGGGGUCAAUAUUCCCCAACCCGGACACGGAGAUCGGGCCCUCGGGCCCGAGUGCGGCGACGCAACCGAACUCGGAGAAGUCGACGGAGGACCCGGGGAAGAGUUGUCUUUUCUUUGUAAGGGUUCGUGUCCCUGGAAUCGGCUCGUCCGGAGAUAGGGACGCUGUCCCCGUAAAAGCACCGCGGCUCUUGCGGUGUCCGGUCCGCCUCUGUCGGCCCUUGCAAAUCCGAGGGAGAUGGUGUGAUUUUCGUGCCGGACCGUACCCAUAUCCGCAGCAGGUCUCCAAGGUGAACAGCCUCUAGUCGAUA